AUUGAACGCUGGCGGCAUGCUUUACACAUGCAAGUCGAGCGGCAGCGCGGGGGCAACCUUGGCGGCGAGCGGCGAACGGGUGAGUAAUGCAUCGGAACGUAUCCUGUAGUGGGGAAUAACUCACCGAAAGGUGAGCUAAUACCGCAUAAGCUCUGAGGAGGAAAGCGGGGGGACCGAAAGGCCUCGCGCUGCAGGAGCGGCCGAUGUCCGAUUAGCUAGUUGGUGAGGUAAAGGCUCACCAAGGCGACGAUCGGUAGCUGGUCUGAGAGGAUGAUCAGCCACACUGGGACUGAGACACGGCCCAGACUCCUACGGGAGGCAGCAGUGGGGAAUUUUGGACAAUGGGGGAAACCCUGAUCCAGCCAUGCCGCGUGAGUGAAGAAGGCC
rnacentral:rRNA from 1 species